rnacentral:rRNA from 1 species
CAGUCGCCGCGGUAAUACGUAGGGUGCAAGCGUUAAUCGGAAUUACUGGGCGUAAAGCGUGCGCAGGCGGUUUGUUAAGACAGAUGUGAAAUCCCCGGGCUCAACCUGGGAACUGCAUUUGUGACUGGCAAGCUAGAGUCUGGCAGAGGGGGGUGGAAUUCCGCGUGUAGCAGUGAAAUGCGUAGAUAUGCGGAGGAACACCGAUGGCGAAGGCAGCCCCCUGGGCCAACACUGACGCUCAUGCACGAAAGCGUGGGGAGCAAACAGGAUUAGAUACCCGUGUAGUCCCUGUCUCUUAUAA